GUGGGGAAUAUUGGACAAUGGGCGAAAGCCUGAUCCAGCCAUGCCGCGUGUGUGAAGAAGGUCUUCGGAUUGUAAAGCACUUUAAGUUGGGAGGAAGGGCAGUAAGUUAAUACCUUGCUGUUUUGACGUUACCGACAGAAUAAGCACCGGCUAACUCUGUGCCAGCAGCCGCGGUAAUACAGAGGGUGCAAGCGUUAAUCGGAAUUACUGGGCGUAAAGCGCGCGUAGGUGGUUCGUUAAGUUGGAUGUGAAAGCCCCGGGCUCAACCUGGGAACUGCAUCAAAAACUGGCGAGCUAGAGUACGGUAGAGGGUGGUGGAAUUUCCUGUGUAGCGGUGAAAUGCGUAGAUAUAGGAAGGAACACCAGUGGCGAAGGCGACCACCUGGACUGAUACUGACACUGAGGUGCGAAAGCGUGGGGAGCAAACAGGAUUAGAUACCCUAGUAGUCC
rnacentral:rRNA from 1 species